rnacentral:piRNA from 1 species
UAUAUGCUUUGGGAGCUCGAUUAAGUGAA